GAAGGAUCAUUAAUGAAUUUUAGAGUGCCGCGCUUCAUCAGCCGGGCUCGACCUUCAUUUCCAACCCUGUGCACUAUAAAAUUUUGGAGAGGAUGGCAACGUCCUCCUCCUUAAUACACUUUAAACUCUUUCAGUUUAAGAAUGUAACAAACCUAAAACAAAGAAAAACUUUCAACAACGGAUCUCUUGGCUCUCGCAUCGAUGAAGAACGCAGCGAAAUGUGAUAAGUAAUGUGAAUUGCAGAAUUCAGUGAAUCAUCGAAUCUUUGAACGCACCUUGCGCUCCCUGGUAUUCCGGGGAGCAUGCCUGUUUGAGUGUCAUGAACUCUUCAACCCACCUAUUCCUUGUUGAAUUGCGUGGUGCUUGGAUCUUGAGCGCUGCUGGCCCUUCACGGGGCGAAGCUCGUUCGUAAUACAUUAGCAACUCAAUUUCGAUUGUAUUCGGAUUGACUCGGCGUAAUAGACUAUUCGCUGAGGACACUUGCUAGUCAAGUGGCCGAAUUUCGAAGUAGUAGCUUCAAAUUUACAGAAGUCAAAUUCUCUAGAUU
rnacentral:misc_RNA from 1 species